rnacentral:rRNA from 1 species
UACGUAGGGGGCUAGCGUUGUCCGGAAUCAUUGGGCGUAAAGCGCGUGUAGGCGGUCCGGUAAGUCCGCUGUGAAAGUCGGGGGCUCAACCCUCGAAUGCCGGUGGAUACUGUCGGGUUAGAGUGCGGAAGAGGCGAGUGGAAUUCCUGGUGUAGCGGUGAAAUGCGCAGAUAUCAGGAGGAACACCAAUUGCGAAGGCAGCUCGCUGGGACGUUACUGACGCUGAGACGCGAAAGCGUGGGGAGCAAACAGG